rnacentral:misc_RNA from 1 species
GAUGAAGAACGUAGCGAAAUGCGAUAAGUAGUGUGAAUUGCAGACUUUAGUGAAUCAUCGAAUCUUUGAACGCACAUUGCGCCCCUUGGUAUUCCAUUGGGCAUGCCUGUUCGAGCGUCAUUUGUACCCUCAAGCUUUGCUUGGUGUUGGGCGUCUUGUCUCUAGCUUUGCUGGAGACUCGCCUUAAAGUAAUUGGCAGCCGGCCUACUGGUUUCGGAGCGCAGCACAAGUCGCACUCUCUAUCAGCAAAGGUCUAGCAUCCAUUAAGCCUUUUUUUCAACUUUUGACCUCGGAUCAGGUAGGGAUACCCGCUGAACUUAAGCAUAUCAAUAAGCGGAGGA